AGCGAACGCUGGCGGCAGGCCUAACACAUGCAAGUCGAACGAACUCUUCGGAGUUAGUGGCGGACGGGUGAGUAACACGUGGUAACGUGCCUUUUGUAUCGGGAUAACUCAGUGAAACUUGUGCUAAUACCGAUUGUGCCCUUGGGGGGUAAGAUUUAUCGCCAUUAGAGCUGCCCGCAUCUGAUUAUCUAGGUGGUGAGGUAACGGCUCACCAAGGCGACGACCAGUAGCUGGUCUGUGAGGAUGACCAGGAACACUGGGACUGAGACAAGGAACAGACUCCCACGGGAGGACGAAGUGGGGAAUCUUGCGCAACGGGCGAAAGCAUGACGCAGCCAUGCCGUGUGAAUGAUGAAGGUCUUAGGAUUGUAAAAUUCUUUCACAAGGGACGAUAAUGACGGUACCCUAAGAAGAAGCCCCGGCUAACUUCGUG
rnacentral:rRNA from 1 species